CUGUUUUUCCUUUCAAGAUUCUCCAUAAUUCUGGAAUAUUUCUACCGGAUCAGCACUAUAUCAUCACCAAAAGGAAGGAUUCCUUGAUACGUUGUCUAGACAAAUUCAGUGGAUAUGAGAGGCAAUGUAAAUCGAAGUUCUUUGUAUCGUCAAGCAUACAUUAAAUAUAUUUCAGGUGCACAAUUAUUCUCACCUCUGGCUCUCCGAGAAGGAGACGUCCCAUUAAGAAGUCUGCGAAUGAAUAUUCCUUGCCAGAGAACAGCAGCAUCCUUUCGUUUGAAUAAACCAAUUACGAUCUGUGCUCGUUCUCACUGGCAAUCACCUCCUUGUUGCUGUCCUGUCCUGUCCCAUUGCUGAUUGGCAUUCCAUUAUCUGCAUCUUCACGAGAAGCUUCUUCAUUAUUCCAUCAUCAUCAUCAUCAUCGAAAGGAGCUGCAGGAGCUGCACGAGGAGCUACUGCUUCAGUGGCAGUAACAGCUGCCACUGCAGGAUCCUUCAUUAUGUUGAUUCGUGAGGAAGGACGAGAGCGACUAAGAGGACGAGUGCGAGUGCGAGUGCUGCGUAUUUGGUUAAAUUGUUGAAGGUCGCCCGAAGGCAGCAGCACUUUUGUGGGUCUGCCUGCCCGUGGGUCUGCCUGCCAAGUCUCAUGUGCAUAAUUCAAGUUGUUGCACAUGCCACACACACACACACACACAUACAUGUGAGACACUCGAGCGGCACGACGAGCCCUGUCGACUGUCGACUGCUAAGUGUCCUUUGGCAGGCGCAAGAUGAAAGCAAAAGGCGGCUGAAAUUAAAUUAAAAUGAAAUGCAUGCAAAGUGCCACAGCGGCAGCGACAACGACAUGGUCCCGCGUCCCGUGUCCCGAGUCCCGACUCCCAGCUCCCAGCUCCCGAGUCCUCUUUUAGUCCUCGUCAUCGGUGUGUCCUGAGUGUGUACUUUAAGCUUGCAAUUAAAUUGCAGGACGAGCCGCACCGCUGCCACUGCCGCCGCACGGGAAUUGCACAGGCUCUCCGAUAGCGAGGAGAUGGAGAUCACUGCCGCCCAGAGGGUGGGGCAGAGGGCAUGUCCAAUGCAUAUGCAUUGCAAUUAAGCAAUCAAUGGCAUAAUUAUCGACACAUGAGAGUCACUCGAUUUAUUAACACGCCUGCCCCGAGGCGCUGCUGCAACAGAUACAGCAACAGAACAGCAAUCGACAAUCGAUUGGCAACUUGUUCAAUUUAAAUGCUCAAACAAACAAAGGAGACCAGACACAGACACCGGAGAGGCGGGGGGCUGGCAGUGUGGGGAGAGUGGUUUUCGGGCAUACAGCCGGAGCCGGAGUGGGGGGUUAACCAAGAAGCCAUUUGCAGACCAGAUCCAGAUCCUGUGCCAAUCAGCAGCCGCAAGCCACACAAAAACUGUCGCGACACCGAAAUGGCGGCCAAAGAAAUGUUUCGUUUUACAGACUGUAAGCGAAUUUUAUGGAACUUAUGUCCUAAUAUGAAGGAAGAGACAUUUGUAAUGGAAAACGAUGCAAGAUCUACAAUGUUCAAAGGAACAUUGGCGGCCGACACAGAAACUACAGGAACACAGGAACUACAGGAGCUUAAAGACGAAGGACAGGAAUAGUUCGAUGAUUCAGCAAAUAAGCUAAAGAAGAUUCCCAAUUUACCAGAUGUCUAUCAUAUAUUAUUGUGGAAAAAAACACGUCGGUGUGGGAUUUUGAACAGACAGAUAGAAGGAAACAUUUCCGAACCCAUGAGGUACACAGUAGUAGCCGGGCUCCCUCCGGCGGCUGUACCUGUUUGGGUGGUGCCGGAUCGAUACUGCAUCCACGAUCGCAUGCAUCGUGCUUCGCAGGUGCAGACAUUACCGACAUCGUCUUCCCUCCUGCACCUCCUGCUUUACCUUGAAGGCUUUGACCGGCUUAUUGGCCGAGACACUUUCUCGCAACAACCGCGAUCUCCUCCUCUUACCCCGCCAGCAGAUCGCACCUUCCGGAGGCCAUGAAUAGCUCUUGUUUACGAAGGGCCUAAGCCUGACGACAGUCCACUCCAUGCGAGCGGCUAACAUCGGAUUUGCAUAAAAUUACAAUACUGGUUUUUUCUGUAGGCCAUAUCUCUGGUAUCCGGCAGCCGAUCUGGGCGCGGCAUGUCUCUCCGGGCUCAGGA